rnacentral:rRNA from 1 species
GACGAACGCUGGCGGCCUUUCUAACACAUGCAAGUCGAACGGAGAUAGCAAUAUCUUAGUGGCGGACGGGUGAGUAAUGGAUGAGUAAUCUGCCUCAUACACUGGGAUAACACAGAGAAAUUUGUGCUAAUACCGGAUGAGACCACACUACCGCAUGGUAGAGGGGUCAAAGGGCUUUACUGGUAUGAGAUGAGCUCAUCUCCCAUUAGCUAGUUGGUAAGAUAACAGCCUACCAAGGCGACGAUGGGUAGCCGGCCUGAGAGGGUGAACGGCCACAUUGGAACUUAGACACGGUCCAAACUCCUACGGGAGGCAGCAGUGGGGAAUAUUGGGCAAUGGGCGAAAGCCUGACCCAGCAAUGCCGCGUGAGUGAAGAAGGUCUUCGGAUUGUAAAGCUCUUUGAUUAGGGACGAAAAAAUGACUGUACCUAAAGAACAAGCCCCGGCUAACUACGUGCCAGCAGCCGCGGUAAUACGUAGGGGGCAAGCGUUGUCCGGAAUUAUUGGGCGUAAAGGGUGCGUAGGUGGUUUAGCAAGUUGGAAGUGAAAUACCCAGGGCUUAACUCGGGUGCUGCUUUCAAAACUACUAGACUUGAGUGUGGGAGAGAAUAGUGGAGUUCCUAGUGUAGCGGUGGAAUGCGUAGAUAUUAGGAGGAACACCAGUGGCGAAGGCGACUAUUUGGCCCAUAACUGACACUGAGGCACGAAAGCGUGGGGAGCAAACAGG